rnacentral:rRNA from 1 species
UACAGAGACUGCAAGCGUUAUUCGGAUUCACUGGGCGUAAAGGGUGCGCAGGCGGCCGUGUGUGUGAGGCGUGAAAGCCCGGGGCUCAACCCCGGAAUUGCACCUCAAACUACACGGCUAGAGCAUUGGAGAGGGUAGCGGAAUUCACGGUGUAGCAGUGAAAUGCGUAGAUAUCGUGAGGAACACCAGAGGCGAAGGCGGCUACCUGGACAAUUGCUGACGCUCAGGCACGAAAGCGUGGGGAGCAAACAGG